AGUGGAGGAAAAGAAACUAACAAGGAUUCCCCUAGUAACGGCGAGUGAAGCGGGAAGAGCUCAAAUUUAAAAUCUGGCAGUCUACGAUUGUCCGAAUUGUAAUCUCGAGAAGUGUUUUCCGCGUUGGCCUGUGCACAAGUCCCUUGGAACAGGGCGUCAUAGAGGGUGAGAAUCCCGUCCUUGGCACAGAUACCCAAUGCUUUGUGAUACACUCUCAAUGAGUCGAGUUGUUUGGGAAUGCAGCUCAAAAUGGGAGGUAAAUUCCUUCUAAAGCUAAAUACUGGCGAGAGACCGAUAGCGAACAAGUACCGUGAGGGAAAGAUGAAAAGCACUUUGGAAAGAGAGUCAAACAGUACGUGAAAUUGUUGAAAGGGAAACGAUUGAAGUCAGUCGUGCCUGCCUAGAUUCAGCCUUCUGGUGUAUUUCUAGGUCGGCAGGUCAGCAUCAGUUUGGGAGGGUUAACAAGGGGAUUAGGAAUGUGGCAACCUCGGUUGUGUUAUAGCCUAGUUUCGUAUUGAUCUUGCUGGACUGAGGAACGCAGUGCGCCCGCAAGGGUAGGU
rnacentral:rRNA from 1 species